UACGAAGGGGGCUAGCGUUGCUCGGAAUCACUGGGCGUAAAGGGUGCGUAGGCGGGUCUUUAGGUCAGGGGUGAAAUCCUGGAGCCUCAACUCCAGAACUGCCUUUGAUACUGAAGAUCUUGAGUUCGGGAGAGGUGAGUGGAACUGCGAGUGUAGAGGUGAAAUUCGUAGAUAUUCGCAAGAACACCAGUGGCGAAGGCGGACUCACUGGCCCGAUACUGACGCUG
rnacentral:rRNA from 1 species